rnacentral:piRNA from 1 species
UUCAACUUUAGAAGGAACAGGGCU